GACGAACGCUGGCGGCGUGCUUAACACAUGCGAGUCGAGCGAUGAAACUUUAACAGUGCCCUUCGCGGCGAAGAUGAAGUGGAUUAGCGGCCGACGGGUGAGUAACCCGUGCGUAACCUGACUUAGACAUUGGUAUAGCCUCGGGAAACCGGGAUUACUACCAACUAAAAUCAUAAUGACACAUGUCAUAACGAUCAAAACUCCGGUGGUCUAAGAUGGACGCGCGUCCCAUUAGCUAGUUGGUAGAGUAAAAGCCUACCAAGGCGACGAAGGGUAGCCGGGCGGGGGAGGGGAACGGCCACAAUGGAACUGAGAACCGGACCAAACUCCGACGGGAGGGAGCAGAGGGGAAUAUAGCACGAGGGAGGGAACUGGAAUGCAGCGGCGCCGCGUAAACGAAGAAGGCUUUCGAGUCGUAAAGUUCUUUUAUAUGGGAAGAGAAUGACGGUACCAUAAGAAAAAGCCCCGGCUAACUACGUG
rnacentral:rRNA from 1 species